rnacentral:rRNA from 1 species
UACGUAGGAUGCAAGCGUUGUUCGGAAUUACUGGGCGUAAAGAGUACGUAGGCGGUCUGGUAAGUCUGAUAUUAAAGCCCGGAGCUUAACCUCGGGACUGUAUCGGAAACUGCCAGACUAGAGGACAAUAGAGGAAGUCGGAAUUCUCAGUGUAGCGGUGAAAUGCGUAGAUAUUGGGAAGAACACCAGUGGCGAAAGCGGACUUCUGGGUUGUUACUGACGCUGAGGUACGAAAGCGUGGGGAGCAAACAGG